rnacentral:lncRNA from 1 species
AAGCUAGCUGCAAGCAGGGACCAGAUUAGUGGAUAUCCUCUUUAAGGGUGAAGUCUUUCCAAUUGCUGUCAACUUUGGCAGGAGUCAGAGGGACUCUUCUUGGGUCACUAACAAUAGACUGUCUGCCCAGCACCAGAGAGCACUGAUAGUCCCCUGACGGCCAUUGUCCCUUGCCCAGCUCACCCACUGGCCUCCCAAGGAAGCACUGUUCAUUGUCUGCCAGACUACAAUGGUGACUUUCUCCUGAGAUAGACCUCCUUGAAGGGACAUGAUCUGGAUGCCAGGUUAAUAACACUGAAAAAUUCACCAUUUCUUUGGUAUUAUAGAUAUAAUUGAUAUAUAGAAAUAAAUAUAUAUUUUAGGCACAAAGGCAUGUAGGAUAUCUAACACAUAUAUAAAUAAUACAUGUAUAUGUCUAAUACACAUACCACAUAUAUGUGUGUACGUAUAUCCAUAUGUGUGUAUAUAUUUAUGUGUGUAUAUGUAUACAUUUGUAUUAUACAUUUUUUCCCUCUCUUUCAAGAUCACCAUGGAUAGUGAGGACAGCCACACAUUUUUGAGUAUUUCCUAUGUUAGUGCUUAAGACAGUACUUCCUAUCUCUAAGGAUUUGAAAUUUAUUUGGAGAGACCAGACAUGUACAGACUGAGAUAAAUAAUGAAUAAUAAUAGGGACCACAGAGGCAGAUUUAUUGUGAAGCUAAUGAAGCUCCAGCCCCAGGGCCCCUGACUUGUACAACGCAUUCCUUGCCGUUUUUGAAUAUAUUGCCAGGGCCCACCCAGCACUUUCCAGGGCCCUGGAGGAGCCCUAGCAGUAUACGUAGCUGGGCCUUCAUGGGAUCAUAACUGGUAAAAUUGGAAGAAGAUUUUAAGCAAUCCUUUAAUGUUUUUCUUUCUCAUUCUGACUUCCCUGCUGUCACAUUUCUGUUUGGGUUUGAUGACAUUGGACUUGAAAGUGCUUUUGAGAUAUAGCUAGGGGGAAGUCGAAUUGGGUCCACAUUUUGUUUGGGUUUAGUGGGAUGUAUUUAUGCAGUUCACAGUCAUCUCUGUGUCAAGUUAUCCCUAGCCAUCCUAGUGUAGAAGUUGCUUCAUAGGAUCGCCACCCACCGUGCCAGCUUACCUGGGGUCCUUACACAAAGGGGAGGGUCAGAGAGAGAAUUGCAGUGUUAACGGGUACCAUGACAUCUGCUGUGGGAUGGUUUAUGGUGCGUGGAGCCAGGUCUGUGGAGAAUUCUUUCACUUGUUAGAUGUGUAAAAUUCUACGUGGAGGAUUCAGUUCUUAUCUAAGUGUAGUCAGUAUGAAAAUUCUCUUCUUUUAGGAAUAUACUCAAUAAUACAAAUAUACUAUUAGAAAUGCACCAUUUUUAAUGGGAAUUCUGUGUUUAAGAUUCUUGUUCAUUUGACAUGAAUAUGCCUGAUACCAAAAAUACUGACAACAAACUGGUUAAUGAGUAUCAUUGAUAAAAAGAAUAUUUAAAGUUAGUCAUUGCACGAGAAAACUUGAAAUGUCCUGGAUUUUUAUGGCUCAUAUGUGAAAGAAAAUUAAGAGAUGUGAUUACAGGUUUGACAACAAUCCUAAAAAUGUAUAUGUCAUUGCCAAUAAAGAACUAUAAGGCUAAAAGUAACUUUUCUGAAUUGUCAAUAAUUAGGAAUAAAUUUUGAUCACCCAUGCUUGAGGGGAGAUUGAUUCAUCUUUCUGCCCUGUGGAAAAUGAUAUGAAUAUAAGUCAUUGUGAUAUGAGGAUUCAUCAGAGUAUACAGCCCAAAAGAAGUAUUUAUAGCAGUGUGUCAGGAAGUUAAUUAAUACACAUACUGGGUUCUUUUCCUGGAUUCUGAUUUUAGGAUGUUUUGGUAUUGCGGCUUGUAAAAUUUUGUGAUUUGUUGUGAUUUCUUAAUCUCAAUAGAUAAUCACUUUUGUAAACAUUUUAUAACAUUCAAUUUUUUUUCAUAAGAAAAGUCUGAAUCUGCAGGCCCACAAAACUUGGGUCUAUUCCUUGAGCUCCCAAUUCGGGAAUCAUUACUAUAUGUGCCACAGACAGUGCUAAAUAAUUUUUGUAUAGUAUUUCAUUGGCCCUCACAGCAAGCCUGUGAAGUAGACAUUACCCCCAUCCUGUAAGUACUGCCUUCCGCUUUGGAGUUAAAUAUGCUACCAUAUUAGUUAAAUAACACACUUAGUGAAAUAUGAACUAGAGUGUUUGUUUAUAUUGGUAUAAAACAGAAAUAUUUUUCUUCAGGACAGAAAGCCUCUUUUACCUCAAUAAAUAUCAUUAUUUUAAUGGGUCUUCCCCUCUCUGUCCUGUAGCCCCUGCCCACAGCUGCACCAGCGGGGGUGUGCUCUGAACUGUGUGGUCACCUCCUGUGCACUGUUUCCUCCCCCAGAAACUCAGGGUCUUGUCAUCAUCCUAUCCUCGUCCCCAAGACGUGUUUUCAGAAAUGGUAUGAAAAUAAAAAUUGAGAAGUACUUUGGGCUGUGAAAAAAAUAAAUUACAAAGGUAACUUUGGACAGUGAAAAACAUCUUUGAAAUUAAUUUCUGUAGGUUUGCAUCAAUGAGGGCUGUAUAUUUAUAUGUUUAUGUGUUUAUGGCAUUCACACAAAUAUCCAUUAUGCAAUUAGUCCAGUAUGGUUUAUAUUAAGGGAAUCUGAAAGAGACUCUUUUUAAAGCUGAUUUAAAAAGGAAAUUGAUUUUCCUUGUUAAAUUGCCAGGGGUAUUUGGUACACAGGAGGCAGAGGCCUGGGUGGUGAGAAGCAUGGACUGUGAAGCUAUACAGAAUUGGAUUUUGAAUCCUCCUGAUCUCACUAACUUGAGCUUUUCAAACUUGGGCAGCUCUUACAGUCUUAUUUAUAUGAGAUAGUAAUACUAUUAUUUAUUAUUUGGGGGGAUCCCGAGAUUGAUUUUCCUUUCACAGUACCUACUGGCUAGUUGCUUUAAUAUGCAUUAUGCAGUGUUAGUCCCAUGCGACGCAGGAGGAAGCCAGGACACAGAGCAAAGAACAGCCAGGAAAAUGCCCGGGGUAGCCAGGGCCGGCUUUGCUGCCAGGUGUGCCCAUAUACUCAGUGCUUGCUCUUUACAGCCUAAGUUGUGAUCUUUUACAAGAUGUUUGCAUUUUCAUUGAAGGCUCUUCCGCACCUGAAAGUCUUGGAGAAAUAAAUACAGAAAGGCUGGAUUUCCACCAAGAGCAGUGUCGAUGGGAGCAGUAUGGAUGGUUGAUGACAUAUUUUGAUGCCGGUUGUCUGGUUGAGGUAGAAAUGUUUCUGAAUGUGUCAAGGCUUCUGAAGAAAACACUUAGGUAGGACAGGAGGGUGCAUGAGCAUCCCAUCACAGUAACAACAAUGAAAACAAUAAUUUGGCAGUUCUAAAAUGGUUGUAAUUACUGAAUUGUCCAAAGACGCUAACUGGUUUUCUCUCUCUCGCUGAUGAUCAUUUAGGGAUAGGUUCUCCUGACAAACACAAUACCUAACCCUCUACACAUACACACACAUACACACAUACACACACACACACACACACACACACACACACACACACACACACACACACACACACAUAUCAACUUCUCUUUUACUUCAGAUUUCCAAAAUUAAAAUCAUGUAAUUAUGUUCAGGAGGCUGGGGUGGAGGUUUUACUGUGAAGCGGUUAUGCAUGACCCUGGAAUCCCACAGGCUACGUGACCUUGGCCAACUUAUUUAAUUCCUGUAGCCCUCAGCUUCUGUGCAAUGAGCAUGGGAAUAGUAUUUAUCUCCCAGUGUUGUUAUGAGGAUUAAGUAGAAACAUGACUAUGAAGGGCCUGGAGAUCAGGAAGCCCCCACACAUGUUAUAACACUGAUAGGAUUUACCUUUUUUUUGCAUCCAUGGUGAUGCUCCCUAUGCCACAUACUCCUCAAAGUCUCCUGUCCUCUUCAUAUUUCCAUAAUAUGAUGGGAGAAAAACAAUCAAAAUAACCAUAUACAUUUCUGCUUUUUGUUAAAUAUUUUACCUUGGAGAUAUUAGGUGAAAUUUGAUUUCCCUGGUAGAGUUUUGGUUUGUGUUUGUGUAAGUCAUACUGAGUGGUCGUAGGAAUUCAUGAGCUGUUAAAACAUUCCACACACAAAUUCUUGCUGUUUGAAAAUAUAGCAGCCUUAAUUUAGUAUUGUUUAUCCAGAUUUAAGUUUUUGAGACAUUAGAUCAUGUGAUUAGAAAAAUACUUCCAUGUUUGAUAAAUAUAGUUUUCUCUUUCGGAAAGAAGGCAUUUCAAGAGUCUAGAG